rnacentral:misc_RNA from 1 species
CCUAACUGAUGCAAUAUUCUUACGCAUAUCUAUCCCAUGAAACCCUCUGAUCUGAACCCCCCAUAUAGCAACUGACAAAGAUUGCACGGAUGGAAGCUGAAAGGGACUACCAAAUUUGAAAUGGUUAAGAGAAAGAACAAGAUAGAGAAGGUUGAAGAAAGCGACUAUUCAAAAGAGGGUAGCUCAAAGAAAGGGUCAAUGGAGGAAGGAGAGGAGAGGAGAAGAGAGGAGGCAGCUUCUAUCACUAGCUGUAGACAACUCAUC